rnacentral:rRNA from 1 species
UCCAGACUCCUACGGGAGGCAGCAGUGGGGAAUAUUGGGCAAUGGGCGCAAGCCUGACCCAGCAACGCCGCGUGAAGGAAGAAGGCUUUCGGGUUGUAAACUUCUUUUCUCAGGGACGAAGCAAGUGACGGUACCUGAGGAAUAAGCCACGGCUAACUACGUGCCAGCAGCCGCGGUAAUACGUAGGUGGCAAGCGUUAUCCGGAUUUACUGGGUGUAAAGGGCGUGUAGGCGGCAAAGCAAGUCAGAUGUGAAAUCCAUGGGCUCAACCUGUGGCCUGCAUUUGAAACUGUUUUUCUUGAGUACUGGAGAGGCAGACGGAAUUCCUAGUGUAGCGGUGAAAUGCGUAGAUAUUAGGAGGAACACCAGUGGCGAAGGCGGCCUGCUGGACAGCAACUGACGCUGAGGCGCGAAAGCGUGGGGAGCAAACAGGAUUAGAUACCCCAGUA